GUGGUAAUGAAUACCUUUUGUUGUUUUGAUUUUCUCCAGUGCGUGUUCGAAGCAUGUUAAUUGUGGCCAGCGAAUCCUGAAAUAAAUGAGGCACCACACUGUUCUCAAGGAUGCUGAAGUUAUUUGUACAGAAGAAUCAGUUUCCGGAUAAGAUUCUUUUUCCUAUGGAUUGUUUUCAAACAAAGGAUUUAAAUCAUCUAAAAUAAUUGUUCUAUUGUCAAAGAAGGUUACAUGUGUUGUCACCUUGUAAGGAGAGGACGUAUAUGCUCUGUAUUUGGAGAUCUAAAUUUCAAGUUUAUCGUUGAUUUCUCUCUAUAAUUUCUGUUAAUACAGAGCAUGUGUAAUGAGAUCGGAGAGCUGGUGCAUGUAUUUAAUCAUGGAAGGAGACAUGCAUGUAUUAUUUGUGGAAAGAGUUAAUGAACAUUACCUGCAAGUAG